rfam:Streptomyces sp. CMAA 1322 contig15, whole genome shotgun sequence.
UCGGCCCCGGUUCACGGGGGGGCAAUCCCGCCCCUCGACCCGGUGCC